AGCACGGAGCUUGCUCUGGUGGCGAGUGGCGAACGGGUGUUUAAUAUAUCGGAACGUACCCUAGAGUGGGGGAUAACGUAUCGAAAGUUACGCUAAUACCGCAUACGAUCUAAGGAUGAAAGUGGGGGAUCGCAGGACCUCAUGCUCGUGGAGCGGCCGAUAUCUGAUUAGCUAGUUGGUAGGGUAAAAGCCUACCAAGGCAUCGAUCAGUAGCUGGUCUGAGAGGACGACCAGCCACACUGGAACUGAGACACGGUCCAGACUCCUACGGGAGGCAGCAGUGGGGAAUUUUGGACAAUGGGCGAAAGCCUGAUCCAGCAAUGCCGCGUGAGUGAAGAAGGCCUUCGGGUUGUAAAGCUCUUUUGUCAGGGAAGAAACGGUGAAAGCUAAUAUCUUUUGCUAAUGACGGUACCUGAAGAAUAAGCACCGGCUAACUACGUGCCAGCAGCCGCGGUAAUACGUAGGGUGCAAGCGUUAAUCGGAAUUACUGGGCGUAAAGCGUGCGCAGGCGGUUUUGUAAGUCUGAUGUGAAAUCCCCGGGCUCAACCUGGGAAUUGCAUUGGAGACUGCAAGGCUAGAAUCUGGCAGAGGGGGGUAGAAUUCCACGUGUAGCAGUGAAAUGCGUAGAUAUGUGGAGGAACACCGAUGGCGAAGGCAGCCCCCUGGGUCAAGAUUGACGCUCAUGCACGAA
rnacentral:rRNA from 1 species